CCGAGACUUUCUUCACUCCGAGCAAAAUCCCAAGUCUUCCAUCUCUCACUCCCACUUUGGCUUUAGAGCGUUUUCAGCUAGAAAACUUCACACUUCCCCUCUCUCAUUUCACUCCCCUCUCUGCGAUUCUCUGAGUCGCAAACCCUAACCCUCUUUUUUCUUUGAGAUCUGAUUUUCCAAUUUCAAGAUGCGUGCAAUUCUCCUUUCUCCACUAUCUCGACUUGAGAUUAGGGUUCUUCAUACUGAAAAAAAAAAGAGGUUCUUCGAUCUGCUAGUUCUGCGUAUUGGGAAGAAUAAGUUCAUCAAGGAAUGUGAAGGCAGGGUCUUCGAAACCUCCAAUAGAUCUCACGAGUAAGUGGCCGGGGCAUCGAAGAGAUUCAAUGAGAUCAAGAAAGACGAUUAGGGUUUGGGAAAAGAAGGAGGACCAGUUCAUAAGGGCUCUAUCGUCUGCCUCACCCAAUAGACCUGCACCACCGUACAAAUCUGCAGAUGGUGCAGCAGCUGCUUCAUCAGCUCUAAUCGUGCUAGAUCAACCAGGAUUGGGGUUUUCUUUGAUUGAGUUUAUUGGGUUUUGAAGAUAAUCGUGCUAGAUCAACCAGGUAAGGGGUUUUCUUUGAUUGAGUUUUGCUUAAGAUUCAUCUGGCCGUUUUGGGUUUGGUUUGAUGAUCGGGGAUACCGAACUAUAUUAUUUUGGUAUAACCGAAAUUCCCUCUUCUUCUUCUCACCUUGAGACUUGGAUCCAAAUAUGGAAACCAUCUUUAUUUCCGUGAGUCCAUUUCUCAUUUCCAUUUUCUGUGUUUGUCCAAUUCCUUCUAAUGUUUCAAUUCAAAGUAGGAUUAGGAAUGAUCAUCUGAAACAAAAAGGGAACUGAUAGUCAUGUUGGGUAUUCAAGAAAAUUAUAGUCUGCGAGAUGUUUGAAACAUAAUGGGAAAACUAUUGGGUAUGCUAUUGACCUGGGUAUGCUAGAUGCUUCCAUUGGUUUCUUCUUUCUUCUAUGGCCGUAUAACAAAUGAUGAGAAGAGAGAGUUCAGACCCACAGAAUAGCUUGGAGAAGAUCAAGCGCCAGCUUGCUUCCGGUUUCCAUCGGAACUUGCUCCAGGGCCCACUCCU